rnacentral:misc_RNA from 1 species
CGCAAAUUGCGCCUUUUGGUAUUCCGAAAGGCAUGCCUGUUUGAGUGUCAUAUAGACCUCACCUAAUCGGUUUUCCGAUUGUGGUGCUUUGGGUGUCUUGCCAUUUGUUUGGCUCACCUUAAAUGUCUAAGUGGAACAGCGUGAUAAGUCUUCGCUAUCCUUCCACUCUAAAUCUAUUACAUCUCUGACCUCAAAUCAGGUAGGACUACCCGCUGAACUUAA